GCGGGCGGAAGGCAUCACUUUGUCCGGACUCUAAUUCAAAUUGUAUUCAUCCGAUCUUCACCAAACUUGGUCAGCAGUUGCAUCUAGUUGAUAUCUAGGCCAAGUUCGAAUAUGGGUCAUGCCGGGUCAAAAACUAGGUCAUAGGGUCAAUAAGUGCAUUUUCAAAGGGGCCACUUUGUCCGGACUCUAUUUCAAAUUGUAUUCAUCCGAUCUUCACCAAACUUGGUCAGCAGUUGCAUCUAGUUGAUAUAUAGGCCAAGUUCGAAUAUGGGUCAUGCCGGGUCAAAAACUAGGUCAAAGGGUCAAUUAGUGCAUUUUACUUUGUCCGGACUCUAAUUCAAAUUGUAUAAAUCUUAUCUUCACCAAACUUGGUCAGUAGUUGCAUCUAGUUGAUAUCUAGGCCAAGUUCGAAUAUGGGUCAUGCCAGGUAAAAAACUAGGUCAUAGGGUCAAUUAGUCCAUUUUCAACAGCGCCACUUUGUCCGGACUCUUAUUCAAAUUGUAUUCAUCCGAUCUUUACCAAACUUGGUCAGUAGUUGCAUCUAGUUGAUAUCUAGGUCAAGUUCGAAUAUGGGUCAUGUCGGGUCAAGAACUAGGUCAUAGGGUCAAUUAGUGCAUUUUCAACGGCGCCACUUUGUCCGGACUCUAAUUCAAAUUGUAUUCAUCCGAAACUUUUAAACAACUUUUUAUCCUGCGUCAAAGUGGUAUGGGGGUAUAAGUCACAUUCAGUGACAAAGCUCUAGUUCAAGUUGAAUUCACCAAACUUGGUCAGAGGUAGUAUAUAGAUUAUAUAUCAGUCAGGUCUGAUUGGAGACAUGCAACCGAUUAACACAUGCAAUAUUUUUAUGCAAUAUUUUUAUCCAGUUUUAUUUUGCGAUAUUUUCAUCGGGUUUAUUUUUUUCGCGAUUUUUGAAACGAGUUAUUUUUAACAACAUGUUUAUUGGUAAGUUUCAUU